ACUGAGAGAGAGCAGGCUGGAGCUGCAGAUUUUAUGAUGGAACUGCAUAAUGUUUAAAAUCAGAAGAAUAUGAUGCCUGCCAUUUACUGCCUGCCCUCCUCCCCCAAAUAACAAAGAACCACUGGGACUAGAAUCUACUCUUUGUUUUCCUGUGUAAAAUCUGGCAACUGUCUCACCUUUCUGGACCUCCAUGAGGAAAGUGAAUAGCCUCAAGUAUCCAGCAAUUUAACAGAAUGAACCAUUGUGCCCCCUGCCUCUUGGUGUGGUCAGGAUAAUCAAAGCUCACUUAUCAAGGGACCUUGACUGAUAUUUUGGAUCUUCAAAGGGAGUUGAGGAGUACAGGCUGAAGAUUAUAACUUUGACAGUUGAUUUCAGUAAGCUUCAUUGAAAGAUAAUUUAUAUGCAAUGAAAUUUGUUCAUUUGAAGUGUACAACUUGAUGAGUUUUGACACAUGUAUACAGUCAUGUAACCAACAAUGCGAUCGAGAUAUGGAACAUUUGUGUCAAGACAGAAUUUUCCUACCACCCUUCCCUCCAGUCUGUCCCUUCGCUCCACACCCUGGUCCCUGGCAACCGUUGCUGUGGUUUCUGAGGUUUGUCGGCUUUCUUCCUUCAGCAAGUGUGUCCUCUGCGUGAUGCCCCAGCCAAAUGGAAGAGAUUAGCAAUAGAAGCUUUUAAACAGGAAGACCUUGCCCAUGUCAAGAGCCGGAACAGAUUUUAACCUAUUCCAAAGCCAGGCUCCAUGAAUAAUACUGAUGUUGACAGUCACUGGAAGGCAAGGGACAGAAGAGAAUAGAAAGAAAAUGUCACUGCCUGGGAAGUGGAUCUGAGCCUUAGAUGGAGGUUUGAGAUCUAAAAUAUUACAGCUCUUGGAUUCAAAACAGGAAUAUGUAAUAUCUAACGGGAUAUUAUAUUUGAGUGACUCCAGCCUGAUUUGGACAGAACAGCCUGAGCAUCCACUGCACCUGUUACUACUGUUCAGUGGGAUUUUCCUGUGGAAUCUAAGAAGGAAGAGUGAAGGAGAAGUGCAGUAGGAUGUAGUGUAUCUCUGUGUAAUUCACAAGCCGGGAACAUACCCAUCAAAUCUGAAGAUGCUAGAAGGCAUUCUCCGUCUCCCCAAAU